GACGAACCGUGCGAACGUUGUUCGGAAUCACUGGGCUUAAAGGGCGCGUAGGCGGGCCGCAAAGUCUGUGGUGAAAUCCUCCAGCUUAACUGGAGAACUGCCGCGGAUACUGGCGGUCUCGAGGAUGGUAGGGGCGUGCGGAACAGUUGGUGGAGCGGUGAAAUGCGUUGAUAUCAACUGGAACUCCGGUGGCGAAGGCGGCACGCUGGACCAUGUCUGACGCUGAGGCGCGAAAGCCAGGGGAGCAAACGGG
rnacentral:rRNA from 1 species